rnacentral:misc_RNA from 1 species
GAUGAAGAACGUAGCGAAAUGCGAUACGUAAUGUGAAUUGCAAAUUCAGUGAAUCAUCGAGUCUUUGAACGCACAUUGCGCCCCCUGGUAUUCCGGGGGGCAUGCCUGUCCGAGCGUCAUUGCUGCCCUCAAGCACGGCUUGUGUGUUGGGCCCCGUCCUCCGAUCCGGGGGACGGGCCCGAAAGGCAGCGGCGGCACCGCGUCCGGUCCUCGAGCGUAUGGGGCUUUGUCACCCGCUCUGUAGGCCCGGCCGGCGCUUGCCGAUCAACCCAAAUUUUUAUCCAGGUUGACCUCGGAUCAGGUAGGGAUACCCGCUGAACUUAAGCAUAUCAAUAAGCGGAGGA